GUGUGUGUUGUAAACAUUUCUGCUGUGGACAUGAACCCUAGACAUUGAAGAUUGACUUUAAACUAUAAAAAAUAGUAAUGUGAAUAAAUGUAUGCUUUUGAAUAAACGUAUCAUGUGAUAUUUAUAUGUGAUAUUUAUAUGUGAUUUUAUGACAUAAAAUAUUUCUUUAAAU